rnacentral:misc_RNA from 1 species
ACACCCCUCAAGCCCCCGGGCUUGGUGUUGGGGAUCGGGAAGCGGGCGGAGCCGGGCAACCGGCGCCGCCCCCCGUCCCCCAAAUGCAUCGGCGGUCACGCCGCGGCCUCUUGCGCGUAGUAGCUAACACCUCGCGCCGGAGCCCGUCGUGGUCCACGCCGUAAAACCCCCGACUUUUUCAAA